AAGAACACACUGUAGAGCUGGCCAGUAGCAGACCACAGGACGUUUCAUACCUGCUUCUGGUUCUGUGUUUCUUUUCUCCCAUCAGAGAUUCUAAGAGCUUCCGUGUGAAGCAGCAAUCCAGAUAAUUAGCCUUUGCCCAAGUGUGAGCUGAGAAAAUAAAGUGUUUCUCAGUGGAAGCUACUCAGAGGAGGAAGGGGAGGACCAUCCUAUUCCUCUAACAUUAAAAAAAGUUAUCCUUUUUAGAUAAAACUAUACUAAAUAUAUUCACAUCACCAAAUAACUGACUAAAACACGCUGUUUUGCAAUGAAGGUCUACAGUAUCCUCAACAGCACUCUGUAGGGUAGCACCAUGGGGUAGCUGGAGGACAGCUGGCUUCCUUAUUCCUCUUGCCGGUACAGUGACUUCAAUACAAAACCCAGGUUCUGGGUUCUAACCCCGUUCCAUAGACUUACACAGUAAUGAUGACGACUUCCAGAGGACGUCCUCCGACCUAUCAGAGCUCUUGCAGCAUGAACUGACAUGUUGUCCUUCCAGUCAAAGGAUCAGAGAAUGAAUCUAGUACUGAAAGCAUAAGCUCCAGCUAGCUAGCAGGGGAGUGCAUAACGUGUGGUGAGUAGUCUACUCAAAGAGAAAGAAAGACAAUAGUUGAACAGUUUGGAACAAAAUAAUAUCUUCAACAAUUAAGGAGAAGCAGCAGAGAGAGAGAGAGAGAGAGAGAGAAAGAGAGAGAGAGAGAGAAAGAGAGAGAUGAAUUGUAUUUUUUUUCUUCUUAGCUUGCUUGUUAUUUACUCAGCUAGCUAAUGCAGCUAAUUUAGUCUACUCAACAACCUGACUCAAACAGAGAGGAAUUCUAUUUAUGUUAGAUAGCUGGCUAAGGCUAUCCAGCACUGCAACUCUUCAAACUCAAGGGAAGCUUUCGAUUUUAUUCAUUUAUUGCCACCGGAGAACACUGGUGUAACUGCUAAACUGCUUGCUGUACACUGUACGGCAUGAUUGUACACAUGGAUUGGAUUGUGUGUUUACUAACGCAUUAGCUGUGUAGAGGUAAGCGGUUAUGGUAUGACGUUUUGGCUUGGAGAGGUGUUUUCGCCUGGUUGCAGUCAGCUGUUGUGUUGUGCACUGAAGUCCACAAGUGAAGGAAAAAGGUGACAGGAGGAGAACACAUAGAUGCGAGAAGGAACGGGCAAAGUACCGAUGCUGGUUGUGGCUGCUAUGAAAGUGAACUGUGUGUGCGGUUGAUCAGGGGUGUAUUAAUUCUGCUGAUUCUGUAUGUGGCUGCUAUGAAAGUGAACUGUGUGUGCGGAUGAUCAGGGGUGUAUUAAUUCUGCUGAUUCUGUAUGUGGCUGCUAUGAAAGUGAACUGUGUGUGCGGUUGAUCAGGGGUGUAUUAAUUCUGCUGAUUCUGUAUGUGGCUGCUAUGAAAGUGAACUGUGUGUGUGGUUGAUCAGGGGUGUAUUAAUUCUGCUGAUUCUGAUGCAAAAUGUUUGUUAAAAAGUAAGCAAACGGAACGUAACGGGAUGGACCUACCUGAAUUUGAAUGUUUUGCAACUGUUUGGACUAGUGAUUGCCCAGAUCCACUAGAUGCAGUCAAGAGUGUGCACGGCGGUAUUGAAUGUGUCACUGUCUGUCACCUCGAUUACUCCAAUUUGUCUCUCGACCUGUGUGCACCUACGUUAUAAACU
ensembl:lncRNA